CAGCGGGUGGAAUGCUGAACGUUCGUCGCGGACCGAAGUUUGGAAUUGAGAGCGAGUGGACCCGGGGAGAGGCCGGAGAUACACUUCAGCCUCAGGGAAUCUGAGAACAAACUGUGACCGACAUCUGCAGCUCCCGGCAGCAGCUCGUCCUCAGAUACAUUCACAGCCAAUCGGCGAUCACUGCUGGGAGACUCUUGCCUCCAUUGGCUGAGGAGUGUCAGUGGGCAGGUCGCUGAGCGCUCGGAGCAGACCUGGGUUUAGAAUCGGGAAUGAAUGGACCCGGUGAGAGACCCGAGAUUGGGAGCAGCUCCUCGGGUAAAGGCUGCAACAGUGGCCGGAGAUUUGAAUCCUUCCGAUGGCAGAGGUGAAGAUUCGGGCGGAGAUUCCUUGAGAUGUUUCAGCCACUCAGACGGUGCCCAGUCUCUGCCUGCUGUGAUUUGGGGCCUAUUGUCUGGAGUUUCCUCCCGGAUUGGCCUCCUACUGUUGGGAUACGGGAGCUGGCCCACUGCGGCUGCCGAUGGAACUCCGGUGCUCUGAGCGUUCCCCUGUGCAAAAGGACAGGCUGAAGGUUUCAAUUUUAAGAUCAUAAGGAUUAGGCCAUUUGGUCCACAGAGUCAACGCUACCAUUUCGACAUGGCUGAUCCAAUUUUCCUUUCAGCGCCAACCUCCUGCUUUCUCUUCAUGCCAUGACCAAUCAAAACUCCUAUCAAACUGAACCUUAGACAUACAUAAUUAAUUGGCCUCUACAACUGCUCAUGGCAAAGAAUUCCACAGAUUCACCAUUCUCUGGUUAAAUAAAUUCCUCCUCAUCAUUCUAAAAUGACACCGCUCUGUGUCCUCUGCUGUCGGACUCUCCCACCGUAAGAAACAUCCAACGGAAUGUCCCACACCUUCAUUAUAUCUACAUGAAACAGUGAACAACAUAAAAACAACACGAGCAGAAGUUGACGAUCUGGCCCAGCAAGCCUACUGCGCCAUUCAGCGGGGACACUGAUGAUCUGACCUUGGACAAAUUUCCACCGACCUGCCUUUUCAAUAUAACCCCAUAUUCCCUUACUAUGAAAGAAUCUAUUCAAUCUGCCUUAAAUAUGUUAGUGAGGUAGACUGAAUUGUUUCGUUUGGCAGAAAAUUCCACAGACUCAUGAAUCUGGAAAAGAAGUUCUUCCUCAUUUCCGUUCCACAUCUACACCCCGAAUCUCCAGGGAUGUCCCCUCGUUCUAGUCUCAUCAAGCAGUGGAGCAGUGUUCCUGACUCGAUCUUAUCCAUCCCUUUCAUAAAUGUAUAUGUUUUAUAUGAUCUCCUCUCAUCAUUCUGAGUUCCAGCGAGUACAGACGCAGGGGACGCAAUCGCUAUUCUGAUCUUAACCUAUCAUCUCUGGAUUAAAACUGGUGAACAUCCUUUAUAUCGCCUCCAAAGCUGGUAUAUUCUUACCCAAGUCAGGAGACCCGAACUGCAGUACUCCCGAUGCGGCCUCCGAAGCACCCUGUACAGUUGCAGCAUAACUCCCUGCUCCUAAAUGUAAUCCCACUCCCAAUGAUCUACUUGGCUUCUUGAUCGCCUGCUGCACUUACAAAGCAACCUUUUACGUUUCAUGCACAAGGACUCCCAAGUUCCUCUGCACAAUAACAUGCUGCAAUCUUCUACCAAUUAAAUAAUAAUCUGAUCUUCAAUUUGUCCUUCCAAAGUCGAUUACCUCCCAUUUACCAACAUUGUGCUUCACCAUUUAGACCUUUGACAACUCUCUUAACCUAUCUAUAUCUCACUUCAGACUCUCCGUAUCCCAUGCACAAUUUUUCUUUUCCACUCAGUUUGGUGUCAUCAGAAAGCUUGGAAACACUACCUCGGUCCUCUCUUCCAUCCCCUUAAUAUAUAUGGAGAACAGUUGAGGAGUCUGCACGACCCCUGCGGAACAAUGCUCACCACUGAUUUCCAGAAAGAGACUUAUGAAUCCUAACUAUCUGCUUUCAAUUGGUUAACUAAUCCUCUAUCAAUGCUGACACAUCACCCACAACUCUGUGUAUCCCUAUCUUAUGGAAAAGUCUUUUACUGGGCAACUUAUCGAACGUUUUCUGGAAAUCAAAGUUAAUUGCGCCCAUCUGCUCCCCUUUAUCCACUGCGCUUGUUAUAUUCUCAGAGAACGGUAAGAUUGUCAAAGAGGGACUGCUGUUGCUGAAUCCAUGCUCCAUCUGCCUAAUGGAUGUAUUUCUUUCCAGAUACCUCGCUCUUUCUUCUCUAAUGAUGGCUUCAAGCGUUUUCCCAACGACAGAUAUUAAAGAAGGUGGAAGGUUGGAGGAUCGUUUCGGGGGAAUCGGUCAGAGAUUCACAGUGUGCGAAGGCAGACCGCUGUGGGCUGUGUGUGUGUCCACCCUCGCCUGGGUGACAGGCUCACCAUUGAAGAACGGUCUGGCCUGGUACGGAGGGGUCACAGUUGGUGACCACAACAGGACAAGCAGACAACGGAAGGUUUUCCUGCAACUGCAUCAUCUCUCUCUCUCUCUCUCUCUCUCUCUCUCUCUCUCUCUCUCUCUCUCUCUCUCUCUCUCUCUCUCUCUCCCACCCCCCCCCCCCAACGGUGCAACAGCAACUACCUGGACUUAAACUAAAUUGAACAUUGAACUGAACUGA